AACGUACGCUGGCGGCACGCCUAACACAUGCAAGUCGAACGAAGUAGCAAUACUUAGUGGCAGACGGGUGAGUAACAUGUAGGUAUCUGCCCUUUGGCCUGGAAUAACACGAGGAAACUUGUGCUAAUACCGGAUAAGUCUUUACGGAGAAAGCUUUAUGCACCAUUGGAUGAGCCUGCACUUGAUUAGUUUGUUGGUGGGGUAAUGGCCUACCAAGACUGUGAUCAAUAGCUGAUUUGAGAGGAUGAUCAGCCACAUUGGGACUGAGACACGGCCCAAACUCCUACGGGAGGCAGCAGUGGGGAAUCUUGCACAAUGGAGGAAACUCUGAUGCAGCGAUGCCGCGUGAGUGAAGAAGGCCUUUGGGUUGUAAAGCUCUUUCGUCGGGGAAGAAAAUGACUGUACCCGAAUAAGAAGGUCCGGCUAACUUCGUGCCAGCAGCCGCGGUAAUACGAAGGGACCUAGCGUAGUUCGGAAUUACUGGGCUUAAAGAGUUCGUAGGUGGUUGAAAAAGUUGGUGGUGAAAUCCCAGAGCUUAACUCUGGAACUGCCAUCAAAACUUUUCAGCUAGAGUAUGAUAGAGGAAAGCAGAAUUUCUAGUGUAGAGGUGAAAUUCGUAGAUAUUAGAAAGAAUACCAAUUGCGAAGGCAGCUUUUCUGGAUCAUUACUGACACUGAGGAACGAAAGCAUGGGUAGCGAAGAGGAUUAGAUACCCUCGUAGUCCAUGCCGUAAACGAUGUGUGUUAGACGUUGGAAAUUUAUUUUCAGUGUCGCAGCGAAAGCGAUAAACACACCGCCUGGGGAGUACGACCGCAAGGUUAAAACUCAAAUGAAUUGACGGGGACCCGCACAAGUAGUGGAGCAUGUGGUUUAAUUCGAAGAUACGCGCAGAACCUUACCGACACUUGACAUGUUCGUCGCGACUUUAAGAGAUUAAAGUUUUCGGUUCGGCCGGACGAAACACAGGUGCUGCAUGGCUGUCGUCAGCUCGUGUCGUGAGAUGUUGGGUUAAGUCCCGCAACGAGCGCAACCCUCACUUUUAGUUGCCAUCAUUAAGUUGGGCACUCUGAAAGAACUGCCAGUGAUAAGCUGGAGGAAGGUGGGGAUGACGUCAAGUCCUCAUGGCCCUUACGUGUUGGGCUACACACGUGCUUCAAUGGUAUCUACAACAGGAAGCAAGACUGCGAAGUUAAGCAAAUCCUUAAAAGAUACCUCAGUUCGGAUUGCACUCUGCAACUCGAGUGCAUGGAGCUGGAAUUACUAGUAAUCGUGGAUCAGCGUGCCACGGUGAAUGCGUUCCCGGGUCUU
rnacentral:rRNA from 1 species